rnacentral:rRNA from 1 species
GACGAACGCUGGCGGCGUGCUUAACACAUGCAAGUCGAACGGAAAGGCCCCUUCGGGGGUACUCGAGUGGCGAACGGGUGAGUAACACGUGAGUAACCUGCCCUUGACUUCGGGAUAACUUCAGGAAACUGGGGCUAAUACCGGAUAGGAAUCCUUGCUGCAUGGUGGGGGUUGGAAAGCUUCGGCGGUUUUGGAUGGACUCGCGGCUUAUCAGCUUGUUGGUGGGGUAGUGGCUUACCAAGGCUUUGACGGGUAGCCGGCCUGAGAGGGCGACCGGCCACAGUGGGACUGAGAUACGGCCCAGACCCCGACGGGAGGCAGCAGUGGGGAAGAUUGCACAAGGGGCGGAGGCCUGAGGCAGCAACGCCGCGGGCGGGAUGACGGCCUUCGGGUUGUAAACCGCUUUCAGCAGGGGCGAAGCUUGUGGUGACGGUACCUGCAGAAGAAGCACCGGCUAACUACGUG